rnacentral:rRNA from 1 species
GAUGAACGCUGGCGGCGUGCCUAAUACAUGCAAGUCGAGCGAACAGACGAGGAUCUUGCUCCUCUGACGUUAGCGGCGGACGGGUGAGUAACACGUGGAUAACCUACCUAUAAGACUGGGAUAACUUCGGGAAACUUGAUCUAAUAUCGGAUAAUAUAUUGAACCGCAUGGUUCAAUAGUGAAAGACGGUUUUGCUGUCACUUAUAGAUGUAUCCUCGCCGCAUUAGCUAGUUGGUAAGGUAACGGCUUACCAAGGCGACGAUGCGUAGCCGACCUGAGAGGAUGAUCAGCCACACUGGAACUGAGACACGGUCCAGACUCCUACGGGAGGCAGCAGUAGGGAAUCUUCGGCAAUGGGGGAAAGCCUGACGGAGCAACGCCGCGUGAGUGAAGAAGGUCUUCGGAUCGUAAAACGCUGUUAUUAGGGAAGAACAAAUGUGUAAGUAACUAUGCAGGGCUUGACGGUACCUAAUCAGAAAGCAACGGCUAACUACGUG